GUAUAAAAUCAUAAGCAUUAAAUAAAACUCUUAAUGUCUUUUUUUUUUUUUAAAAAUGUUCUUCAUCAAAUCUGUGAUCCACUCCCAGAACUUUACUCUGAGAUAUUAGAUAGGGAUUGGCACACUGGUCAGUUUCAGUGUCAUGAUAACCUAUUAUGCAAUUCUCCUGCUGGGCAGCGCGUUACAGAGUAUAGUGGUUUGCUGCUUAUCUAGGCCAAAUUUUGAAUUCUGGUAAACAAGAUGUGCGCGCUUACUCCGUGCCGAUUUGAAUGAGAAGACUUUGCACCAUAUAAACCACAAUAAUAACCUCGGGAUUUAUUAACUUUGAAUGCAUGGUGUUGGUUGCAUCAUCCGUAUUUUCAAAUUCCCACAUUCAAAAGACCCGCCUUUGGUGAAGGCAAAGGUAUUGUGCUAUUCUUUCCGAG